GGUUGUGAUGAGAAUUGCUUCUUUCUGACACCUCUUGUUUGAGAGGGGUUACUUCAAGUUGGCCCUUCUUUGAGCAGAGUAGCAAAUAUCUGAACC
rfam:Musa acuminata subsp. malaccensis Doubled-haploid Pahang (DH-Pahang) genomic chromosome, chr1